UUAAUUAAUUAAAUUAAAAGAGGAGAUUUGGACACAGAUGGGUGCAAAGGGAAGACCAUAUAAAGACACAGGGAGAAGACGGCCACCUACAAGCAAAGGAGAGAGGCCUUGGAAGAAACCAAUCCUGCUGACAUCUUGAUAUUGAACUUCUAGCCUCUAGAACUGGACUUAGAACUAUGCAGACAUGACUUCUAAAAAUUUAAAAUAAAUGUUUAUGCAAACCAAAAGAUAUGAAACUUUUACAUGUCAAAUAAACAAAGUCAAAGGCAAGCAACAAACAAGAGAUGAAAGCCCACAAAUAUGACAACUCAAACUAGAAAGAAAACUGAGUCAUCAAAACAAAUACAACAUUUAGGGGAUGGCAGUUUCCAAAGAGGAAAUUCAAAUGGCCAAUAAACAUGGAAAAAUUUUUAUCUGACUAUUAAAGAAGAAAGGUAAAUUUAAACAAGUUGGUAGACUUUCAUUUUGUUUUUGUUCUGUUUUGGGUUUUUUUGUUUGCAUUUCUAUUAAAUUUACAAAAAAAACGAGAAAAGAAAAAAAAAAUCAAUGUUGAUAAGCAUGUGGCUUUUUCGUAUGUUGUUGACCAGAGUAAAUUUUCCUCAGUAUUUUGAAAAGAGUUUUCUAAUGUAAGUUAAAGUAACAUAAAGCUGUUUAUCAUCAGCUCAAUUAUGUCACUGCUAGAAAUCUCGUAGCAAAGUAAUAUGAUUCAAUCCAAUAUAUACAAUAGGUUCUUUUGUAUUUGUUAAAUAUGUUUCUGGAAUAAGGGGAGUGGUGUUAUAUGACGUAAGUCAGGAUGCAAAUUGCUGUGUAACAUAGUAUCUCUGGAUGUUAGGAUUAUGAAUGAUUUUUAUUUCCCUAGGUUUACUCUGCUUUCAUUAAUCUAUAUGUAAAUACACA
rnacentral:lncRNA from 10 species